UAAUGAUACAAACUAUUAAUAGACUAGGUCAGAAAUGGAGUGGAUAGGACUCAUGAGGACAUGCUCCACUGUAAACUUGUGCUCUCCAACACGUUCUACGAGAGCUUGGCUGAGAGGAAAUUGUGCAGAAAACUUGUGCAACAUUCAGAGCUACCAGCAACCAUCAAGGGCCCAAAGAAGUUAAGAGAUGUGAACAGGACAUUGUACAAGGAUGUUCUCUAAAUCAGCCAAUUUCAUGCAUCAGAUAUAAUGAUGAAUGAGACUGACAUAUAAAUGGAAAAGAUCAUUGUUGGAGAGGGAAAAAUACACGUGGAGAAUGGUUCAACAUAGGAAGAGGUGACCAUAGAAGCUUGACAGAUUCAAGAUGUCACUUCCAGGGAAUCUCACCUUAUUGUGUACAGACUCCAUUUUGAAGGGUCUGUUAGGAAAAAAAAAAGUUUUAAGGUAAAACUUUUAAAGUGUGGUAAAGAAAAAAUAAACCAAAGAUGCAUGCUCAAAACUACCUUAGCAAAUAGGGAUAAAACAUGAAUUAUUUUCAGCAUCAUCUUCUAAACUUAAUUGUCAACUUUGAUCUGUCUACAUUCUCAGCUGAACUUCAAAUAAAUAUUAGCCCAUCAGAAUGAACUGUGGCCCUGCGUGACAGGAGAGGGCUUGCUACCGCAGAGCAAGGUGCUGAUUUAAGGAUCCCAAUGUUGAUGUACACCAGGGAACUCUCCCCAGGUACCAGCAGGUUCUGUGCAGCCCAUUAUUCUUCACACGGCCAGGGAUGCUAUUUCUCCAGAACUCAGUACAGUCGCACACCCCAUUGGUGAGGACACAGCCAUUUGAUAUGAUAUAUCCAGUGAUACACUAUUUUGAUUUCUCAAUGAAACAUACUACCCUGGCAUUUGUAGAUCAAAUUCAGAAGAGCAUAUUUAGAAAAAUUCUCAUCCUGACACCUUUAUUCCAGAGUUUGUUUGAAUGGGUAGUUAAUGUUUGGUUUGGUUUUGUGAUAAGGUGUCACUCUGUAGUCCUGGUACUUCCUAUAUGGACCAGAGAUCACCCUGCCUUUGCUUUUGCCCCCAAUGGAGUAUUAGGAUUAAAGGCAUGAGACACCCCCUCCUAGUAUUUUUGAAGCAUUGAUAGUUUUGUGGUGUCUUUUUAAGACCCUUUAAUUAUAUGCAUGCUGAAAGCCCCUAGGCUCCUCCCACAGGACUCCAGGCAGCUUUUCCACCCCAGAUUCUGUAUUAAGAACACACCUCUGCCCUGUAUCCACUUGAUGGAAUCGUAGGAUGGUGGGGGAACAUGGUGGUGUUAGUGGCCCAAGAUAUUGAGAAUUUAAAGAACUUUUAGCAUCAAUCCUUCUCCAGCUUACUUGGUAAGUGAGGAGAAUAAAGUCUAGGCAGGCUACGUGGCUAGCCUGAAGGCAUGCAGGAGUCUCUCUCCUAGGUUUUCAGAUUCAAGACUGAUAAUAUAUUUUAAGCAUACUUCGUUGUCAUGCAAAUGUUUACUUAUAGAAAGACAAAAGGUUGCUUUUAAGUCUACCUUAAUUUUGCUGGGUGGGAUUAGGGUGUUUAAGAUCAACCAAAGAAGGUAGAGUCAAAUUGUGCAUAUGAGGCAGAAACUCCCCAAAUGUCUGUUUCUCCACAUUAACGCCAGGAAACUGGAUAUUAAGAAUCAUAGCAGCACUAUGGUGUGAAGAACACAGAAGCCUAUGGGAUCUGUCUGAAUCCCCACAGACUAGAAGCACUGGAGAGCAGGAGCUCUCCAUCUGCAACAGACACUUGCCGACCUGAGCGCUUAUCACAUAGAUUGCAGAGACCUCCCACCCUGCAGCAAGCAGGUUGAAAUAGUGUUCUUGACCAGCAGUGUGGCCUUCCCUCAUGCUGGUAAGUCUCUCCCUCUCACCCCCACCAUUCACACCACAUGUUUCACCUUGGCCCCUUCUGUUAUUCCAGUGGUCCUUAUUUGUCUUAUGUGUAGGAAUGUUUAUAUUUGAAUGAGUCCCUGCCUCAAUCAAAACCCAUUUUCUCUAUCUUCUGUAGGCCAUAACCUGUGGACACACUUUAAUAAGUAUUUGGUGAAUACUGAAUUCAAACAAAUGACAUCAGGAUGAAAGUGUGAUCAUGUAUGUAAGGGGAUAGCAUAGCAACAAUGAUGUAUUCAACUCCAGCUGCCAUCCACUACUGGUGAGCUGUGCCUUCCUUCUCUAAAGGACAACUGCACCACCCCUACAUGAAUAUGCAAAGCGCAAGUUGUGAUAUGUGUUAAGAUAUGACAUUUCCAAGCGUCAUAAGCAUCUUUUGAAGAUUCUUUGUUCAUAUAUAGUUCACACCAUGUUAA